UACGUAGGGUGCAAGCGUUGUCCGGAAUUAUUGGGCGUAAAGAGCUCGUAGGCGGUUUGUCGCGUCUGCUGUGAAAACUCGGGGCUUAACCCCGGGCCUGCAGUGGGUACGGGCAGACUAGAGUGCGGUAGGGGAGACUGGAAUUCCUGGUGUAGCGGUGAAAUGCGCAGAUAUCAGGAGGAACACCGGUGGCGAAGGCGGGUCUCUGGGCCGAUACUGACGCUGAGGAGCGAAAGCUAGGGGAGCAAACGGG
rnacentral:rRNA from 1 species